rnacentral:lncRNA from 1 species
UUUGGAAUGUCUUCUUCUUGAACUCUAGGUUGAUGAUAGCCAAAUCUUAGAUCGAUCUUUGAGCAUUAACGGGAUAAUUGUAGUUGGUCGAAACAAGUCAUCGAUCUUCGAGAGUGGGUAUCGGUUCUUGAUGACAAGUUUGUUCGACUCUCGAUAGUCGAUGCAUAUCCUAAACAAUUCAUCCUUCUAUUCGACAACAAUAAUGGAGCUCCUCAUUGAGAGCAGCUUGGUCGGAAAAAGCCUUUGUCAAGAAGUUCUUGGAGUUGACUGGAUAGUUCUUGCAUUUCUGAUGGAGCCAGACGAUAAGGAGAUUGUGCCACUGGUGCUGUACCCGAGAUUAGGUCAAUUUGGAAUUUGACCUGUCUGACUGGAGGUACUCCAGGUAGAUUCUAUGGAAAUACGCCCGGAUAAUCACACACUAGCGGUAUGUUUAUGAUUUCCUUACCCUUGUCUUGCAUAUCCACCACGUGGGCCAAGAAAGUGAAGCAUCUCUUCUACAAACACCUUCUUUCCUUCAUGCAAGAGAUGGUUCUUAGAUUCUUUCCUGAUUUGUCUAUGUAAAUCACAAGAGCUUCGUUGUUAGGUAUAGGUAUUCAGAUGACUUUUUCGUGACAUAAAAUAUCUGUUUGAUGAAGUGAUAACCAAUCCAUCCGGAUGAUCACAUUGAAACUUCCAAUGGUCGUAGGUAUUAGGUUGACGUGAAAGACAUGGUCAUUCAGGGUCUUUUUGCAAAAUUUAGAGGCGUGACCUCUUAAGUUACAGAUUUUGCAGGCCAUGCAAUUUCUGACAUGGUGAAAGUUGCACUUUAUAUGGUGGGAUAAAGUCCUAGAGUAGGAAUUUGAUUGAGUAGGUGUGUUUGUGAUUGAGAUGUACACAACUACAGGUUAUGGACUAGGAUUGCGGUGCUUGAAGUUCCCAUUUGACUUGCCAUGGAACUUCCUUUUUGUACUCCCAAUAUGUUUUUUUGGGUUAUGGAACUCUGACAGAUACACUACUAAGUCAAUUGGUAGGUUAAUUGCUUUGCACUGUCAAAGGUAGUGGUUCUAGGCGUAGUAAGUAGACCGUGAACUAGUGUAGCAAAUCCCCAGAUGUACCUUUAGGUAUUUUUGUAUUCUUAGUUCACCAUUCCCGGGUAAAGGUUUGCGAGGUCGUUAAAUCAGAAAGUCUGGCAGUUACAUUCAAUCUUUUUAUGGUCGGGUUCCAAAUUGUAGANNNNNNNNNNNNNNNNNNNNNNNNNNNNNNNNNNNNNNNNNNNNNNNNNNNNNNNNNNNNNNNNNNNNNNNNNNNNNNNNNNNNNNNNNNNNNNNNNNNNGCGGGGGCGUUAUCACACUGGUGCAAUGGUUCGAAAGGACCGAGGCAGUUUUUGAAAUCUGCGCUUGUCCCGAAGCGAGCAAGGUCAAGUAUGCGGCAUUCACUUUCACUGGAAAAGUACUUACUUAGUGGAAUGGCCGAGUUAAAUCACUUACUCCCGCAGUAGCUAACGCAAUCAGCUGGGAGGAUUUGAAAGCCCUAAUGUUAAAGGAAUACUGCCCGAGGGGCGAAAUACAAAAACUUGAAGAAGAACUUUGGAACCUCAGAAUGACAGGCACUGAUCUUGAAACUUAUACUGCCCGUUUCAAUGACCUAGCACUCCUCUGUCCAACAAUGGUCACUCCAGAAGAGAAGAAGGUGGAACGAUAUCUCUGGGGGCUGUCAUCCCAGAUUCAAGAUAGUGUAUUGGCCUCAAAACCCACUACCUUUGAGAGUGCCAAGGAAUUGGCACAACAACUCAUAGAUCACAGGGCUAGCCGUGGUACCGUGAUAACCACCACCGACCGAACAAAAGGAGGGAACAACAAGAGGAAGUUCUGGGGCAAUAAAAAGAAACAACCAAUGCAGGACCCCGCCAAAAAGCAACAGAUUGUUGCUGUUCGUGCCGCCACUACUGCUGUCGCUCCAGCGCCGCCGAAACAGUAUACAGGAACUCUUCCCAAGUGCAACAAGUGUAACUACCACCAUAAUGGUGCUUGUCAAGAGUUACACUGCAAUAACUGUAACAAAAAGGGGCACACCGCACGAUUUUGUAGAGCGACUACCCAACCCGCCGCACAAGUCGCUACGACCGCCAACACCGGAGCAAGCCAAACCUGCUAUGGAUGUGGUGAAACGGGACACUUCAGGAGGAACUGCCCCAAGGCACGAGCCCCUAAUGUUGGGGGUGUAGGGAGAGUCCUAACUUUAGGGAAGGGAGAAGCAGUCAAGGAUCCCUCUGUGGUUACUGGUACGUUCCUCCUCAAUAACUCUUAUGCAUGCGUACUUUUCGAUAGUGGGGCAGAAAGAAGUUUCAUAAGUCACCAAUUCAAACAUAUACUUAAGCAAAAUUCUCAACCACUAGAAGAUUCUUACAUCGUAGAAAUGGCAAAUGGAAAGGUUGAGCGCGCUAAUGAUAUUUACAAAGGGUGUACUCUCACUCUAGACAACCAUUUGUUCAAAAUUGACCUUAUGCCGGUCACCAUAAAAAGCUUCGAUAUAAUCAUUGGUAUGGAUUGGUUAAGCCUUCAUCCUGCCGACAUUCUAUGUUACGAAAAGGCCGUCCACCUCAAUCUACCGAAUGGCAACGUUCUCACCGUUUAUGGCAAUAAACCUAGUGCGAACCUACAAAUCAUCUCUUGUGUUAAAACCCAAAAGUACCUCCGAAAGCAAUACCAUGCUUUCUUAGCCCACAUCGUAGACAAGAAACAGGAGGUGAAGGACAUCAAAGAAAUUCCAGAAGUAUGCAACUUCCCUGAUGUUUUCCCAGACGAUCUGCCAGGUGUACCACUCGCACGACAAGUCGAAUUUCGGAUCGACUUAAUCCCAGGAGCUACCCCCGUCGCCAGGGCUCCAUAUCGCUUAGCACCGGCAGAAAUGCAAGAACUAUCCAGCCAGUUGAAUGAACUAUUGAGCAAAGGGUUCAUCAGGCCAAGCUUCUCGCCCUGGGGAGCACCAGUCUUAUUUAUAAAGAAGAAGGAUGGGUCUUUUCGCAUGUGCAUAGACUAUCGAGAACUAAACAAACUCACUAUCAAGAACCGUUAUCCCCUACCCCGAAUCGAUGACCUCUUCAACCAGCUCCAAGGAGCCAGCUACUUUUCAAAAAUCGACCUGAGGUCGGGCUAUCAUCAACUACGAGUUCAGGAAGAGGAUAUCCCCAAGACGGCAUUCAGAACUCGCUAUGGGCACUAUGAAUUUGUAGUGAUGCCAUUCGGGUUAACAAACGCGCCUGCGGUGUUCAUGGAUUUGAUGAAUCGAGUGUGUCGACCCUUCUUGGAUAAAUUCGUCAUUGUAUUCAUCGACGAUAUCUUGGUCUAUUCGAGGAGCAAAGAAAAGCACAGACAACACCUACGACUAGUUCUAGAGAUUUUAAGAACCGAGAAGCUUUACGCGAAAUUCUCAAAGUGUGAAUUUUGGCUCCGUGAAGUAGGAUUCCUUGGCCACGUAGUAAGCAAAGAAGGAAUACAUGUGGACCCCUCAAAGAUCAAAGCAAUCGAAGAUUGGUCAACACCUGCAACGCCAACAGAAAUCCGACAGUUUUUGGGACUCGCAGGCUACUAUCGAAGAUUCAUACAAAACUUCUCCAAGAUCGCUAAGCCUCUCACCACCUUGACUCAGAAAGGUGUGGUGUUCGAAUGGGAAGAUAAACAAGAAGCCGCCUUCCAGACACUAAAGCAAGCCCUAUGCAGCGCACCAGUCUUGUCUCUUCCAGAAGGAACCGAUGAUUUUGUGGUGUAUUGCGAUGCUUCGAAUCAAGGCCUCGGCUGUGUGCUCAUGCAAAGGGGAAAAUUCAUCGCUUAUGCAUCAAGGCAACUGAAGACACAUGAAGUUAAUUAUACAACCCACGACCUUGAACUGGGAGCGGUGGUGUUCGCCCUGAAGAUCUGGAGGCACUACCUCUACGGCACCAAGUGCACCAUCUUCACUGAUCACAAAAUUCUUCAGCACAUUCUCAAUCAGAAAGAACUUAACAUGCGCCAAAGAAGAUGGGUGGAAUUACUGAAUGACUACAAAUGUGAAAUUCGCUACCACCCGGGCAAUGCCAAUGUAGUAGCCGAUGCCUUAAGCAGGAAAGAAUACUCGGGUCGCCGAGUAAAAUCCCUAGCCAUGACCAUCCACUCCCAACUGGCCACCCAGAUCAAGGAUGCCCAAUUAGAAGCCUUGAAACCAGAAAACGUGGCAAGCGAAGCACUAAGGGGGAUGGAUAAGAACUUGGAAGUCAAAGUGGAUGGAACUCGUUAUCUCAUGAAUCGAAUCUGGACACCGAAGUUCGGUGGGUACCGAGAUGUUGUAAUGAACGAGGCCCACAAGACUCGAUACCCCAUUCACCCUGGGUCNAUCCUUAUCCCUACAAUAUAGGCAGCUUCUCCAAGGUCCUUUAUAGAUAAACACUUCCCAAGCCAGGACUUCACUUCCUGCAGAGUUGGGAUGUCAUUUCCUAUGAGUAGUAUCACAUCCACAUACAAUACAAAAAAGCUACCUAUACUCCCACUAGCCUUGACAUACACACAAGAUUCAUCGCUCCUCGAAAAGCCAAACUCUUUGACUUUCUCAUCCAAACGGAGAUUCCAUCUGCGAGGUGCUUGUUUUAAUCCAUAGUGGAUUUCUCAAGCUUACACACUCUAUUGGGGUACUCUGUACUAAGACAUCAGGUGGGAUGGAUACCAUAUGGGUGGUUGUGGACAGAUUGACCAAGUCCGCACACUUUCUGCCAAUAAAGGAAACAGACAAGAUGGAGAAGUUAACCAGGACGUACAUUAAAGAGAUCGUGCGACUACAUGGUGUACCAACAUCCAUUAUCUCUGAUCGAGAUAGUAGAUUCACCUCGCGUUUCUGGCAGUCCCUACAGAAGUCUCUAGGAACNNNNNNNNNNNNNNNNNNNNNNNNNNNNNNNNNNNNNNNNNNNNNNNNNNNNNNNNNNNNNNNNNNNNNNNNNNNNNNNNNNNNNNNNNNNNNNNNNNNNACCGGCUUGACUUGAUGACUUGACUUGACUCAAGAUUGACGAUUGGCACAACCUUGAAGAAAUUCAAGAGUCAAGUGGUGAAGGAACUUCAAACCCUAGCAGUCAACCUGAGGAGGAAACUCCUAUUGAUCCGAUUGACGAGUUUGUACCUCUGAGGCAUUCCACGAGAGUUAGGAAUUCACCUGAGCAUUACUAUGCUUUCCAUAUUACUAUAGAAGGUGAUACACUUAUCAGUGAUGAGACACUGGUAAGUCUGGAUGAACCUAACAGCUACACAGAAGCCAUGGUAGGCCCGGAGUCUGCUAAAUGGAAAGAGUCAAUAGACAACGAGAUACAGUCCAUGUAUGACAAUCAAGUUUGGAACUUGGUUGACAAUGUACCAGGUCAUAAGACAGUCAAGUUCAGACGGAUCUUCAACAAGAAGACCGACAUGGAUGGUAAUGUACACACUUAUAAGGCGCGACUGGUUGCAAAGGGCUUUUCUCAAACUCUGAGAGUUGAUUAUGAUGAUACAUUUUCACCAGUAGCAAAGAUAAAGUCUAUUAAGGUUAUGUUAGCCAUUGCUACAUCUCAUUAUUAUGAAAUAUGGCAAAUGGAUGUCAAAACCGCUUUCCUUAAUGGAAAAUUGGCUGAGGAUGUUUACAUGAGUCAGCCAGAGGGUUUUGUUAGUACAGAGUACCCCAAUAGAGUGUGUAAGCUUGAGAAAUCCACUAUGGAUUAAAACAAGCACCUCGCAGAUGGAAUCUCCGUUUCGAUGAGAAAGUCAAAGAGUUUGGCUUUUCUAGGAGCGAAGAUGAGUCAUGUGUAUAUGUCAAGGCUAGUGGGAGUAUAGUUAGCUUGUUGGUAUUGUAUGUGUAUGACAUACUACUCAUAGGAAAUGACAUCCCAACUCUGCAGGAAGUGAAGUCCUAGCUUGGGAAGUGUUUAUCUAUAAAGGACCUUGGAGAAGCUACCUAUAUUGUAGGGAUAAGGAUUCUAAGAGACCGGAGUAAAAGACUAAUUGGACUUAGUCAGAGUACCUACUUGUAUAAGGUGUUAAAUAGGUUCAGCAUGCAGAAUUCCAAGAAAGGAGAGUUACUGAUCCAGAGUAACGCCGGAUUGAGUAAGACUCAGAGCCCGAGUACAGAGGCUUAGAUAGUAGAAAUGAGUCGAGUACCUUAUGCUUCUGCUGUAGGCUCGAUCAUGUAUGCUAUGACUUGUACUCGUCCUGAUGUGGCCUUUGCCUUGAGCAUGGUUACUGGACUGCGGUAAAGAAUAUUCUCAAGUACCUGCGGAGGACUAAGGACUGGGUCCUUACCCUCGGUGGGAGUGAUGACUUGAGAGUAGUAGGGUUGUAACACCGUGAAAUUUCAAAUAAUUUUUCAUUUAAUAUAAUAAAAACAUUUCAUUUUCAAUUAUCCAAAAAUCAUGUUCCUAAUAUUUUCACAAAAUACAAAUCAUAAAUCCACAUCCCAAGAUCUCAAAACAUAUCAACUGCAAGUGUGUACUGAUCAUGCCGACGCCUUCCUGUGAUCAUCACUGGUACCUAAAACACAUAUCAUACAAAUGGUAAGCAUAAANUCCGAUCCAUGUGUCUCAGGGGAUUUCCAUCCCAUAACUCUGUUGACCUUCCGGCCCAUACUCCGUUGACCUUCCGGUCCAUAUCAUUUUGACCUUCCGGUCCAUAUCAUACUCAUAUCAUGACAUAUCACAUAUAUAACAUGCAUCACAUAAUCAUCAUACACAUAAGACCUUCUGGUCAAACAUAAUUACCCCAUCGGGUAAGGUAUAGUGAGAAGACUCACCUCGCUAAUGUCGGAUAAUCACUCGUGCUCGAUCCCCUAUCCUAUCGUCCUCUUAUAUCAUAAACACAUCUCUAAUUAACACCUUCCUGACUUGGUAUGACUAAUACUCUUAAGUCAACACAAGUCAACCCUGGUCAAUGCUAGUCAACGGUCAACCCUUGACCCGACUCGUCGAGUCUUGCAUCGACUCGGCGAGUCCAUACGUGAACUCAAGUCCUCCAAAUCCCUUCUAACUUACCGAGUCACUCCCCCAACUCGGCGGGUCAUCAACUUACAUUCUCUUACAUUGUGUUUAUUUGGUUUAGUGUUUUUAGAUUUUGGUUUGAUAUUCCCUUCAAAACGUGUACAACUUUUUUAAUCUAACAGUUGAUUACUUUUGGUUGUUAUUGAGUAUCAAAAAAUGAAGUUUUCGGUAUAUGAACAAUAGAUGUGGAUUGAAGUCUCAUUUUCCUUCUACUUGUUGUUCCAAAUAUUAUUCUUUGUAGUCUUUUGAAUUAUGUUUUGAGUACUUUUAGUUACACAAGGCAUUUGUGUUUAUACGGGUCUUUUGUAGUUAGAUUUUUCAAAAUAAUCUUUCAUUCUGUACACUUUGAUUAAUGCUUUUGACUUAUAUACACUUUGAUUAAUGCUUUUGAAUUUUAUCAACAACAGUCCAACUUGGCAGUCCCUGAUCAUAUAAGAUUAAGAGAAAACUUGGAAAGGGAGGAUUUGGACAUAUGAAUGCAUCAGUCCCUAAUGAAAGAACGGGUCCUGGAGCAAUACAGGUAUCACAUUAUUUUUCUAAUUUAAUUGCUUUUUAACAAAAGAAUUGAUAUGAUUCAUGGUGUUAUUCAAGAUGUGGUUGUGAAUGGCGCAACUAUAAUUUCGGCUCUAGUUUUGAGUAUAAUAAACAGGAAACAUCAACAUGUAGACAAAGGAGGAGUCACAAAUGAGAUUAGAUGGCGGAUGUUAAGUGGGAAAAGUCGUUAUCCUGAACAUUUGCCCCUCCUCUCAAGGGCUGCUGCCAUUUUCUGGGUGGGUUAUUUGUCCUUUUACCAUUUCAAUAAUAUUGUUUAUUGCAUUUUUUAAAUUUNCCCCGUCAGUCCCGACGGAUCCAAUAAGUACAUCAAUUCACCUCUCCAUUUUAUGUGAAAUGAAAGAAGGGACAGAGAUCAUAAUUUAAUUCCGAAGGGGUUUCCCCUCUUUUUUUCAGGAUUCUGUCGAAGAAAGAACAAACACUAAACUAAAAUAAAAUGAAAAUAACUAAAAUAGUGAAGUUGAUAGAAUAUUCCAUCUUUUCUCCCGCGACUCCUCUUUCUCAUACUUCUUUGUCUUCCAAAUAAAAUUGGAUCAUUCAAAUUUACAACCUAAUUCCUCUCUUUUUCUACUUCGCUUGUAUUUUUUGUUGGCGUUUUGUAGUUAAUGGAAAUGGAAACGGACAAGGAUACCUCAUUUGAUGGUUCUAUAUGGAAGACAUAAGGUAGGUUAUAGAAAAGAAAGAAGAUUUCUUAAUAAAAAAUAUUUAUUAUCUAUGUAGCUAGAAAAAAAAUAUAAAUGACUAUGUCUCUGUACCGACUGAACCAAUGACUAUUUAUGAUUCCAUAAUUGAAUCAAUUCCAUACUGGUUCCAAAUUAGAGGAAUGUUAUGGUAAAACUUCGUUUAAAACGAUGUGGUAGAAAGCAACUUCUGUCUAUGAAAAAAAAGUCUGAACCUCCCUUGCUUUGUGGGCGCACUGACCAAAGUUAGAUUAUAUUUUCAAUUAUAUUUAAUUCAAUAAUAUAUAUAUAUAUAUAUAUAUAUAAUCAAUUUUAGUUUUUUAUAAAAUUUCAGCAUUUAAUAUAUUGUUAUUUAAUUUUACUAGCUUGAAUACUUUAUGCGUAAAAUGAUGUCUGACAAAGGGUAAUUAUUUGUUGUUGUAGGUUAGAAGACUAUCUGCUUGUGAGACAAUGGGAUCUGCUAUUAUUUUGCAAUGAUAAAACUGGAACAUUGACAUUAAAUUUGGUAUGUCUAUGUCUGUUUACUUAUUUUUUUGGAUUAUUUUUAUGUUUCUUCAAAUUUGUAAAAUCUUUAUUAUUUUGUUGUGUUCAGAUGAUAGUGAUUGAGGUUUAUAUAUGUGGUAAGAAAAUUGAUCCACCAAAUAAAACGUCUGAGUUGCCAUCUAGACUUGUAUCUCUUCUCAUUGAACUGGCAGUGUAUUUUUACCUAAGGUAAAUUCGUUAAGAAUUUAUUUAUCUUAAAAAUAAUUUUUUGUAAUCGUUUGAAACUUUUGAUAUAGGUUGGUGGAAAUGUGGAGGUACCAUUUACUCAUAUAUUAUUUUCUUUUAUAAAUUUUGAUUUUCUUUUAUCAUCUUUAGUAGUUCAUGCAUUCUCCUUCAACUCAGAGAAAAAAUGAGGCGAGGUUACAAUCAAACUGGUAAAAUCAUAUUUUUAUUUGUAUUUUAUUAUAAUUAUUUUUAUUUAAUUGUUUUUAAUAUUUGGUAUUAUACUUGUUCUAACAUUUUAUUUAUUAAAGAAACUUUAUAUUUGAAAGUACAGAUGUCUAAUGUAAGUGCCAUUCCAUAUAUCUUUUCUUUUGUUAUCUAUUUUUGUAUAAAAAGUACUAUGUUGGCUGUUAUAACAUCCUAUUUUUGUGUUUCUUAAUCUAUUUAUGUUGGCUGUUAUAAGUUAUUUCAUGUUUACUUUUACUAUAAUAGGAGGCUUAUGGAAGAAUAUUUGGAUUCGCAUCUAGUACAAUAAUGUCCCAAAAGGUUCGUUUAAUUUUGUCUAUUAUAAUAUCCUACUUCUAUAACAUUUUACUUUAUAGUUUUUCCUAUCAUGAGAUACUAAUAACAAAAUCUAACAUAUUAUUUUCAUGUUUUAACUGUAGGUUGUGGAUGAACACUGGAAAUGUAUGGAGAGAUGGAUAUUAAAGAUAUUAAAGAUGUGAAAGUUGUGAAAGAUUAAGAAUUAUGAAAUAUGGUACUUUGAAAUCAAAUCUCAGUUAAUGUUAAACUUUGAUAUAUAUGAUAUUUUAGGAUUUUUUGGUAAACUUUGAUGGUUGAUGCUUUUUGUUAUUUAAAUAUUAAUGUUUGUUUUGGGAUUGUUUAAUUUAUUUUUUAUUUUUGUUUUAGAUUGGUAAUAAAAAAAUCAAAAAAUAUGUUAUUAUGUUAUUAAUUUGCGAGGGUUCAGCAAUGGACUAAAAAAAAUCUUUUAUCAAACAUUUGCGAGGGAUUAACGAUUACAAGAAUCUGGUAUCAUACAUUUGCGAUGGAUCAACAACGGACUGCAAAAAUAAAUAUGGAGAUUUGAGACGGAUCAGCGACGGAAUAAUGUUACUACGUUUUGUCGCUGAAUGUCCUAAAUAAGUGUAGUAAGUAACCAUUGGUGAUGGAUAAUCUAUCACUAAAUCGUCGCAAGUAAAAAACCAAUAUGUCGCAAAAACUCUCGCUGGCACGUUAGCCAUGCUUAAAUUGGCUAUGGAGUUAUUCUGUCGCAAACAAUCAUUAGCAACAGAAUAGCGACGGAUUGAUCUCUCGCUGAAACUCUUGUGUCUAGUAGUGUAUUUUGUUUGGUUUGGAUUUAGAAUGAAUGUAAUACCUAAUUAUUUGUGCAUUUGGAUGAUUAUUGUUUUAUUUUACUAGUUAUAUACACUAGCAUAUGUAUAUGGACUUUAUAUAAAUUGAAACUCAUACAUUAGAAAAACGUAAAAAUAUUAAUUUGUUAAAUCUUGGUCUUUUAAAGUUAAAAUAGACACACGUAUAUUUAUGAUAUAUAUAUCUAAACAUAAAGAAUUAGAAAUUUAUAUAUAAUAAGUGUCCAAUUUGUCAUUAUACACUUAUAAACAUUUUUCACAAUAAUAUCUACAAUACAUUUUAUAUAUAUUUAUUUAUUACCUCAACUCUAGUUCCUUCAUAUUGAUUCAUAUAUUUUUUUUUUAAAAGUGUGUGCUUAAGGUUCAUGUCAUGUUGAUUCCAAAAACGCAUACGAAAUUGAAUUCCAUUAUGCUGGUCUCCGUGAAAUGACGCUUAACGUUUUGCGUUGAAUUAAGCUGAAAACGUUUAAUUUUUUAUUUUUAUAAAUAUUUUUAUCAAAAAUAUUUCAAAUAUAAAAUUAAAUAUUAGACCGUAGCCUGAAUCCAAAAAAUGUUUUCGUAACUUCUAUUUGAGGUGUGUAAGUCCCUCAACGGAUAGAAACGGCUUGAACGAUUUUAAGGAAAUCGGUAUUGUACUGAUUUUGGAUUCUUAAAACGGUCAUAUCUUUUGCAUAUGAACUCUGUUUUGGUCGUUGUUUAUAUUUUCGAAAUCAGGGAAACAUGUACUACGAGACUAGAAUGUUUGUAUUGCUCACGGCUGCUUAACACAAAUUUAUAGUUUUUCAGAUGCAUUCCUAUGAUUGUAGUUUGAGUUGUUUGAUUGGUUUAUUAAUUUACACAUUUGGAAGUAAAAUACCAUUUGGUAUCUUAUAAUAGUUGAAAUAACUCAUUUAUUUUAUAUUAGAUUCACUAAAAUUCAAUGAAUAAAAUUACAAAGAGAUUUACUGUGAACUUGACCGUUCACAGUUUGUGACCUAAAUUCCGGGAUGUCACAUUACCUCCCCGUUAAGGGAAUUUCGUCCCGAAAUUAUUAAGUUCUAGAUUAUUUUGUUUCACUAUCAUUUUGUUCUACUAGUAUUUCAUUCCGGUAUUGGAGGGAGCACCGUUGAAAAAUUGCGGAUACUUUUAUUUUAUUUGAUCCUUACAUUUCCAAGUAAACUCCGACUCUCUACGAGGGUUCCAUUAGGUGUUUACUAUUGUUAUUUUUCUUUGUUUGAGGCUUUUGGUUUCUCGAUUAAUGAUCUCCAUCGGUUCCUUCACGAAGUGAAGUUUAGUGUUGACCGGGAUCUCAUUAAGAGGAAAGACAAGGUUCUCAUCAUAGAAACACUUUUGAAAUCACAUACGUAGGAGGUGUCGUGAACUUUGUUGAGUUCUUGAGGUAAUUUGAGUUUGUAAGUCAUCGGACUAAUCAUUGCUAGGAUUUCACAAGGUCUGAUAUAAUAGGGAGUUUAGUUUACCUCGUUUUCGAAAUCUAAUGAUGUUUUCCAUAGUGCGACCUUUAGUAGGAAACUAUCUCUUACUCUGUUACUUUGAACUCUAAGGGUUUAUGUACGGCAUUAGCAUUUGUUUUUCUGAUGGCUACGUGCGGUCUUCUAAUCGUUCCUUUACCUGAACGAUCUUCUGUAUUGUUUCAUUAAUAAUCUCAGGGCUAGUGAGAAGAGUAUCUACAACAUGCUUAUCAACCAAUUAGGGUAUCCCCAACUUCUAUCCAACAUACCGGAGAACGAUAUUUGGUCCGUACAUGGUCUCGAAUGGAGUGAUCAUUAUGCUAGUAUGCUAACUAUUGUUAUAUGAAAACUCAGCUAGUGGUGAGUGAGUAUCCCAUUCAUUACCGAAGUGAUGAAGUCCAUCCCACAAGCGCUGAGCAUGUCCUUUUAAGCUUGUAUCGUUCUUUCACUUUGUCCAUCCGUUUAAGGAUGAUAUGCAAAAAUCACGUCGAGUUUGGCUCUUAGGAACCUCUGUAAUGAUUGCCAAAAUAUGGAAGUGAAUCUGCUCUCUCGGUCCGAGAUAAUCGUUAUUGGUACACAAUGUAGUCUGACUAUCUCCUUGAGAUAGAUCCUGGUGAGUUUCUUUACCUUGUCAAUUUUCAUGAUGGCUAGGAAAUAGGAGGACUUGGUCAAACGGUUAACCACUACUCACAUGGUGUCAUAACCGCUUGAAGUUCUUGGCAACUUCAUUAUGAAGUCUGUGGUUAUUUGUUCCAAAUUCCAUUCCAGGGUUGGCGGUUGUUGUAGUAGACCAUACGGCUCCUGGUACUCUGCUUUGACUUUGGAAUAAGUUAAGCAUUCAAUGACAUAGUUAACAAUCUCUGUCUUCAUGUUGGGUUACCAGUAAAGCUUCUUAAGAUCGAGAUACACCUUAUCUGAUCCGAGAUGUAUUGAAUACCUUGAAUUGAGAGUUUUUUCUAGAACUAGACCCCAGAAUUCACCAAACUUUAGGGUCCAAAUUCGGUUCAUGAAAUAUUGUAUUUUGCCUUCCUUGAGCUCAAACUGUUUGUCCAUGCCUCACAGGUUUCCUUCCAUGAUAUUCCCAGGUUUGAGAGCUUCUAGCUGAGCAUCUCGAAUUUGGGUGGUGAGAUUCGAGUAGGUGGUUAGGGUUAGAGCCUUUACACUAAGUGGAUUUGCUUCUCUUCCUGGUUAAAGCAUCCACUAUAACGUUUUCUUUACCAGGAUGAUAACGAAUUUCGCAUCCAUAAUCAUUUAACAAUUCGACACACUUUCGUUCCAUAGAGGUAGUGCCUCAAAAUCUUUAAGGAAAACCUUACAACUCCCAACUCUAAUUUGGAGGUAGUGUAGGUGGUCUUGUUUGAUUUAAGUUGUAUGGAUGUAUAUGCAAUGACUUUAUUCUUUUGUGUCAGCACGCAUCCUAACCCUUGGUGCGAGGCGCCGCUGAAUACUACAAAGUCUUAUGUUCCCUCUGGAAGAGACAAAAUAGGUACACUACAUAAUAACUGAUUCAAUUUCUGGAAGGAAAACUCUUGCAUGUCUCCCCAAUUGAAUUCCUUGUCUCUCUGGGUUAGAUAAAUGAGAGGCUUGGCGAUCUUGUAGAAGUUCUCUAUGAAUCUCCGUUGAUAGUCUGCAAGCCCUAGAUAUUGGCAUACUUCGGUUGGUGUCGUUGGUCAGUUCGAAUGGCAUAACCAGAAACUUGUAGUGAUUGUACCGAGUCCUAAAUGUCGUCUUUGGAAUGUCUUCUUCUUGAACUCUAGGUUGAUGAUAGCCAAAUCUUAGAUCGAUCUUUGAGCAUUAACGGGAUAAUUGUAGUUGGUCGAAAUAGGUCAUCGAUCUUCGAGAGUGGAUAUCGGUUCUUGAUGACAAGUUUGUUCGACUCUCGAUAGUCGAUGCAUAUCCUAAACGAUUCAUCCUUCUAUUCGACAACAAUACUGGAGCUCCUCAUUGAGAGCAGCUUGGUCGGACAAAGCCUUUGUCAAGAAGUUCUUGGAGUUGACUGGAUAGUUCUUGCAUUUCUGAUGGAGCCAGACGAUAAGGAGAUUGUGCCACUGGUACUGUACCCGAGAUUAGGUCAAUUUGGAAUUUGACCUGUCUGAAUGGAGGUACUCCAGGUAGAUCCUAUGGAAAUACGCCCGGAUAAUCACACACUAGCGGUAUGUCUACGAUUUCCUUACCCUUGUCUUGCAUAUCCACCACGUGGGCCAAGAAAGUGAAGCAUCUCUUCUACAAAUACCUUCUUUCCUUCAUGCAAGAGAUGGUUCUUAGAUUCUUUCCUGAUUUGUCUAUGUAAAUCACAAGAGCUUCGUUGUUAGGUAUAGGUAUUCAGAUGACUUUUUCGUGACAUAAAAUAUCUGUUUGAUGAAGUGAUAACCAAUCCAUCCGGAUGAUCACAUUGAAACUUCCAAUGGUUGUAGGUAUUAGGUUGACGUGAAAGACAUGGUCAUUCAGGGUCUUUUUGCAAAAUUUAGAGGCGUGACCUCUUAAGUUACAGAUUUCGCAGGCCAUGCAAUUUCUGACAUGGUGAAAGUUGCACUUUAUAUGGUGGGAUAAAGUCCUAGAGUAGGAAUUUGAUUGAGUAGGUGUGUUUGUGAUUGAGAUGUACACAACUACAGGUUAUGGACUAGGAUUGCGGUGCUUGAAGUUCCCAUUUGACUUGCCAUGGAACUUCCUUUUUGUACUCCCAGUAUGUUUUUUUUGGGUUAUGGAACGCUGACAGAUACACUACUAAGUCAAUUGGUAGGUUAAUUGCUUUGUACUGUCAAAGGUAGUGGUUCUGGGCGUAGUAAGUAGACCGUGAACUAGUGAAGCAAAUCCCCAGAUGUACCUUUAGGUAUUUUUGUAUUCUUAGUUCACCAUUCUUGGGUAAAGGUUUGCGAGGUCGUUAAAUCAGAAAGUAUAGGCAGUCACAUUCAAUCUUUUUAUGGUCAGGUUCCAAAUUGUAGAGAGACAAUUGAAAUCCUACUGAUUUCAAAUGAUAGAGAGAGAAGUUUAGAGACUAUUGAAUGAUCAAUUGGGAACUAUGGGUUUCUCUGCUAUGACGGUAGCGGAGCCGUUGGUUCUUUGUUCUUCCUUGAGUUUAGGUAGAUUAGGAAAAAUCUAAACGUUAUUCCAGAUUUUUAAGUGUAUUUUAAAAUGGAUACGUAGCAUUAGGGUUGAUAUAUGGUUUCUAAGACACUAGGUUUCUGCAGCGAAUCUUAAGAACAUCCUUCAAUCUCUAAAACUUUCAACCAUUGUAGUCUGUCAAACUCCUUGCUCAAGGUUUGUUGUUCACCAUCCUGACCAUAAAUAUCAUUGGCGUAUGUUCCAAGUUUAUUUAUGGUAUGGCCUAUGUAUGGUACUAACCUUAAUUGAGGCGUUUGACCUAAAGGGUUGAGUUGGUAGUUUUAGUUGGAGGCAUGUUAGAAUUUUAUUAAAUGUUCUCAUCGUGGGUCAGAGUAUAUAUAACUCUUAUAUGUUAUUGUUGGUGGGGUUUGCAAUAUUAUUAAGUUUAGUUUUGUAAAGUAUAAGGGUUGAAUUUUAACUUUUUAAAAUUCUAGGGGUUGGAACUAAAGUUUACUAAAGUGACUUUACAUGUUUCAAAACUUGAGGGCAAGUUUUGUAACUUUAGAAAACUUUUCAUUCCAUAACUUAUGAGUUAAUGGUUUAUUAAAAUGAGAGACUUUUCAUUUUAUAUAACCUAUUUGUUUAUUAAUGGACUUUAAAAGAAUGACUUUUGGUAAUCCAUCACUUGAGGGCAAAUUAUGGAUUCCGUUAAAACACAUAAUUGAUCAAGAAUUAAUCAUUAAACAAUUUUGCAAGUAAUUCCUAUGAUCUAACAAUAACUCGUAAGAACAUGAAUCUUCAUAUCAAAAUUUCAAGAAUCAUAUGAACACAUAUAAGCAUGGAAUUUUGAUAUUAGCCAUUGUAAAUUGAUUAACAUAACCAUUACACCAUCUAAACCAAGUUUUAAAACAUCAAACCAGUUUAGGAUAAAGUUUCUAGUCCAUUUCCAGCAGCAAAAGUAGAAAAACUGCAGUCAGAGCCUCUUACUCGUCGAGUGCAAGAACCUACUCGACGAGUAGGAUGAAUUUGUACUUGGACUCGUCGAUUCCCCCCAUGGACUCGGCGAGUCCACUAUCCAGACAACAACUUUUUCGAUUUUUCAGCAAGUUUGCAUCAAAUAUCAAAAAAACAAGCAUAGGCUCUGAUACCAAUGAUGGGUUUUGAGCAUUCUAAUACUCCUAAGGUGUAUGUGCAACCCUAGAAACCUUGGAUCUAUGUUUUACUAAGAUACAUGCAAAUUUGAUUUUCCAAGGUUCUUGACUUAACUAGCAUGCAUGGGAAACAUUGAAACAUAAUUGCUAGUAGAAGAACAUACCUUUUGAGUUGAUUGAAGUCCUUGAAAACCUUGUGAGCCUAGCACCUCAAGUGUGAUGCCUCAAAUGUCUCACACAACACCAAAACACUUGGAAUAACCUUGAGAGAAGUACAAACACUCUUGAAAUUCGGCUAGCCCUCUAGUUCUUUUUUAGUGUCCAGUUUUGCUAGUUAUGGGGUUUCUUUUAUAGUGUGUCAGAAGUAGGGUUACACCAUGUAAACCCUAAUUUGACAUGGCUCUUCAUUUCCAUGAUCCAUGGGUUUAUAACCUCCAUGGAGCAUCCAUGAAGCACCCUAUGGGUUUUAGUCUAAUUAAUAUAAACCAUGGAUCAUUAGCCCGCUAUACAAGAAUAGAUGAUUUACACAAUCAACCCCAUAUAUUUAAUUAGUCUCCUUUUGAUCACUUAAUUAAUUCCAAAUUAAUUCUUGAUCAAUACUAAUUAAAUAAUAUUAU